UCAUCUUCGGGGGUAGAGCACUGUUUCGGCUAGGGGGUCAUCCCGACUUACCAACCCGAUGCAAACUACGAAUACCGAAGAAUGUUAUCACGGGAGACACACGGCGGGUGCUAACGUCCGUCGUGAAGAGGGAAACAACCCAGACCGCCAGCUAAGGUCCCAAAGUCAUGGUUAAGUGGGAAACGAUGUGGGAAGGCACAGACAGCCAGGAUGUUGGCUUAGAAGCAGCCAUCAUUUAAAGAAAGCGUAAUAGCUCACUGGUCGAGUCGGCCUGCGCGGAAGAUGUAACGGGGCUAAACCAUGCACCGAAGCUGCGGCAGCGACACUAUGUGUUGUUGGGUAGGGGAGCGUUCUGUAAGCCUGCGAAGGUGACCUGUGAGGGUUGCUGGAGGUAUCAGAAGUGCGAAUGCUGACAUAAGUAACGAUAAAGCGGGUGAAAAGCCCGCUCGCCGGAAGACCAAGGGUUCCUGUCCAACGUUAAUCGGGGCAGGGUGAGUCGACCCCUAAGGCGAGGCCGAAAGGCGUAGUCGAUGGGAAACAGGUUAAUAUUCCUGUACUUGGUGUUACUGCGAAGGGGGGACGGAGAAGGCUAUGUUAGCCGGGCGACGGUUGUCCCGGUUUAAGCAUGUAGGCUGGUUGUCCAGGCAAAUCCGGAUAAUCAAGGCUGAGGUGUGAUGACGAGGCACUACGGUGCUGAAGUAACAAAUGCCCUGCUUCCAGGAAAAGCCUCUAAGCAUCAGGUAACAUCAAAUCGUACCCCAAACCGACACAGGUGGUCAGGUAGAGAAUACCAAGGCGCUUGAGAGAACUCGGGUGAAGGAACUAGGCAAAAUGGUGCCGUAACUUCGGGAGAAGGCAC
rnacentral:rRNA from 1 species